UAAUAAAAACUUUAUGAAAACUUUAUGAAAUCUACUAGUUUUUUUGUUCAAUUAAGUUUUCCAUAUACUUUUAAGGUAGUUUGAGAUAGUGCCGGUGAUAGUUCUGUGAUAGUUCCAAUAUACUUUAACUACACUAAAUGUAAAGUGAUACUUUUACACAACAUAAAUUUCCGUGAGUUUUUUGAAGUGUAGUCUGAUGGUUACUUCACACUUGCCUACAAUGUAAUACGCAAUCUUCACGUGGAUCUCAUCUCCUAUAAAGAUUUCGCUGUCAUCUCUCGUCUUUAGUGUCACCAUGAGUUUGAUUUUCAUUCGGAAUAGCACUUGAAUCAUAAGUUAUGAUGUUGUCUUUGAUUUAGUAAAGAAUCAAUAAUUUAAUAAUGCAUAGAUUAAAUUUGCUUUGACUAUAGGGUGAAUGAGGUAGAUAAUUUAACAUACAGUACAUUUAUUCUAUCCUGUGAUUUACACUCCACACAAUGAACGAUUCUCCAGCUAGAACCAGAGGUGCAGCCUGCAAAGAUCUGGGUAGGCCAACCCGCCAGGCAGCUGAGUGGAGACGGUGGCCUAUCCGUACCCCGUGGAAUCCAACAUGGCGGCUGAUGUCCGCUUGUGAAGACGACCGUUCAUCUCGGGGGCCACGUUAACAGUCACUCAAAGAUAAUCAGACGUGGUGACUUUUGGAAGUGGUCUCAGUAGAAAUUUCGCGCACCUCCCAUCCUCCCUUCUCUCGUGCUGCUCGUCUUGUGUUUGCAACAUGUUUCGCGGUGCUGUGGCUGGCCGACCGAGACCAAGAGAGAGAGGGACGCAGGCGGAGGGAGUGAGGGAGCACGGAGACGCACGGAGCCGAAAGUAUAGAGGGCGAAGGCUGUGGCUGUGGGGAUGGACAAAUCGACUGAGUCAUAAGCUGUGGUGACGACAAAACGGCGCUGCCUGAUACCAGAGAAAUGAGAUCUCUAAAGCAUCAUGCUGCUUGCUUCAUUUGAACUAAAAGUAAACUAGAAAGGAGGGUUGUUCGGAGAGUUGGAUGUGUUCGAGUUUGAAUUGUACAUGGACAAGUGGACAAUAUCUACAUGUGGUUUGGGAGGAACUCUCCACUCUAUCAGAUGAGACUCCUCCUCAGC